rnacentral:lncRNA from 1 species
ACUUCAAUGUGCUCCCUAACUUAAAAAAAAAAAAAAAAUUUCAUGAAAAAUGUUUAAACAAUUCAAAAAGGACAUGAACAUCUAACUCUGAGAUUGACAUAUUAACACCUCAGGGCCUCAAUCAAGUAUUAUAAUGCUAAAAAUCACAACUGCUACACUUUUAAUUGUGGUAAAUAAGUCUCCUCAUGAACAGCUGUAUUUUAAUAGGUACUUUACCAAUUAGAGAAAAAUAUCACAUAAUUUAAGUAACUUUCAAUUUCACUUCCUAUACACUGUAUCAUCUAUAGGCUCAUCAACUGUUGACAACGUGUCAGUUUUUUUAUAGAAAGAACACUGAAACUUCACUCAAGUUUCCAUCAGAUUAAAUGCAAACUAGGAUACAUAGUUUGCUAUUCUCAUUCCAGAGGAAAAACAAAGGGAUGUGGAUUUCAGCAACUUGCUGGACAGAUAAGAACUAUCAACUGAAGGCUCAGUUCUUUCACUACUGCCAUAUGGAAAGAGUUUACCUAAAGUACUCACUAGAGGAUAUUUUAUUUUACUUAGUUGGGAAGUACAUACACAUCACACACAGAGAAAAGGAAAACCAACUAUUGGAAUUUUCUGGUGAUGGUGGUUUUUUAAGCACUGUGGUGAGUUACUAGGUUACCCUCCUCUCCAGAAUCUUAAACCCAGAGAGAAGCCAGCUGUGUGAAUGAACUUACAAAGCCUCUUUAAGGCAAAGUAGCCACUAGAAAAAACAUACUUUUCUUGAAAUCUUUCAAGAAAACUAGGAAAUAUGCAUUCUACACAUUGUUGUGUCUUGUCUGCUCUGUUUCCUUGCCUUUGUGCCACACCUGUUUUCUCUAAUCCCUCCUUUCACUUAACACCAGCUGGCUCACCCCCUGCCACCACACUUAAGUAAUCAGUAGCUGCCUCAAGACCCUAGUGCUUCACAGCAGAACCUGAUUUGAAAAUUAAAUUCACCCUCUUACUUGUUCAAUGAAGUAAAUGAAAAAAAUCCUCAGUGACACUGCCUCCUGCCUGCCAAGAAAGGGUCUCACUAAACUGGUGAUUGAGGUUACAGUGAAAAAAACUGCUUUGACCAUUUGAUAGAAAAUAUUACAUCCUAAAUUUAGAACCAAAAAAACCAUUCAUGGUUUUGGUAAUUUUCAAUUUUUAUUUCCAACUACUGCAGUAAUAAGAUAGCAGUGGUAAUUCUGCACUGAAAGUGGCAACCUUUUAAGUAAACAAGGUUGCAAAUUGUAGUAUUCCAACAAUAUUUUGACCUAUGGAAAUUUUGAUGGGAAAGGAUUAUUAUAAUCAGUUUUAUAAUA